UACUUUGGAGAAGCCCGCCGGAAAAAUCCAGCGCGGGUGCCGAAGGGGCAAGGCGUUAUCCGCUUAAUCUCUCAGGCAAAAGGACAAAGCU
rnacentral:ncRNA from 1 species